GAUGAACGCUAGCUACAGGCUUAACACAUGCAAGUCGAGGGACCGGCGCACGGGUGAGUAACACGUAUCCAACCUGCCCUUUACUCGGGGAUAGCCUUUCGAAAGAUAGAUUAAUACCCGAUAUAAAGGAUGGGGAUGCGUUCCAUUAGGUUGUUGGUGAGGUAACGGCCCACCAAGCCUUCGAUGGAUAGGGGUUCUGAGAGGAAGGUCCACGACAUUGGAACUGAGACACGGUCCAAACUCCUACGGGAGGCAGCAGUGAGGAAUAUUGGUCAAUGGGCGGUAGCCUGAACCAGCCAAGUAGCGUGAAGGAGGAAGGAUUAUGGGUCGUAAACUUCUUUAAAAUAAGAAUAUGUAGUAUAUGAAUAAGGAUCGGAUAACUCCGUGCCAGACGACGAGGUAAUAC
rnacentral:rRNA from 1 species